ensembl:lncRNA
UUUUUUUUUUUUUUAAUUUAAAAAAGAUGUUCCUGAAAAUAUAGAUUAGCACUUUCCUGCCUUUGCUAGCAGGAUGCAGGGAUGUGUUCUUGCUUGCAGGUGUGUCACAUAGGAGGCAAAAUCAUGCUGUGAGAAGCAGCAUAUACAACCCCAAACCAAGUGCUGCAGUAAUUCUGCUAUACUGCUUUGUGCUCUUGCUCAAACUCGGCCAAGGCAAUGGUGUGGCACUGCUAUACUGCAGGACUGCAGAAUGGCUGAGGUGGGAAAGGACCUUUGGAGGCCACCAGGUCCAACCUUUGCUCAGCAGCAGAUUAUGCUGUAAGUCUGGUGCUGUGAGCCUUUAUAUCUGCCAUUUUCUGCAAAGGCAUGAGGUUUUUUUGGAUUGCUUUUCGGAGGUUCCUACUGUGCUUUGUCAAAAAUGUGUCUUCUAAUGAUGGGCUUAGGAUGCAGCUCUGAAAGGAGAAGGCAGUCAAAGUGGAUUUAUUAACUCUACCUAUAAUUGCCUCCUUUCCUUGUGCUAUGGAGCUGUAUUUUGUUCCUUUUCAGGAAUAAUUUAGGCAGAUGAGUAUAAAUGUACUGUUGCUAGGAAAAAUGCAAGUGCAAAGUGCAUUUAUACAGUAAAAAAACAGGGAUAGAUAGUAUGCCUGAGUUUUAAAGGCCAUUUCACAUAGCACCAAACAUUGAGCCAAUCUUUUUUGUUGGCACUCUUUUUUUUUUUCAACACCACAUUACGCUUUCUAGAAGAGCUGCUUUAGAUCCAGCCUCAUCAUCAGAAAGCGCAUAAUUUAGUCAGUGUACCCUGUCAAAUUCAAUUCCUAUGGAGCAUUUAUUUGAUUCAUUAAGCUCCUUCUCCCAUUCUCAAGAAGAUCCACGGCUGAUUGCAGUCUUCUCUUUACAGCAUAGGGGGGACUUUUCACUGUCUGUCCCUUAAAGAUGAGUUACUAAUGUACUUGCUUACAGAAACUAGUGUGCAUCUAGAUCUGAUUUCUUCAAAUGCCAGGGGCUCUUCUUGCCAUCAGUUUAGUGAGGUUUUUGAGAUUUGGUACAGAGAGGAUUAGGAUGUGGUAGGAAUCACUAGAAAUGUCCUAAAACCCAAACAGAAUGGUUAAAUUAACGUUAAAUUGGGUACCAUAUUUGAAGCUAGUAGUGUAGUACUGCCCCUUUUUCAACUGUGAAAUCUUAUACCUCAAUACCACACCUUUCACACUGUGUAGGACUAAUAUAUGAAAGAAUUAAUGAUUAUUUUCCCCCACAACUCACCUUUUUAUGUAGUUGUGUGUGAUAGUUGUGCAUUUGUGUUCUAUGGGAUAGAUGGGGUUUAGGCUAUGUAACAAAAUUCAUGCAUAGAUUACUAAUGGUAUCCUAUCUAAAGCUAAUAUAUUCAUUAGCCCUCCUGUGAACAGCAAGUAGAUCAGUGCACUAAGAUGUUACUUACUAGCUUAUGUCCAUGCCUGUGGUGCUGUUAUUUUUUUUUUAUGGUGGUUUGAAUGGAAAAGAAAAUAACCCUGAUGUCCAUGAUAUUGUCACUAUGGCAGGAAACAUAUGGGCCAAUUUUGCAACAUUUCUUUGAAUUUCUUUUAAGGAAACAGUUUUCUGAAGUGCUGAUACUCAGAGUCUCCGUGGUGCUUAGAAAUGUGCAAGGCCAGAAAAGCAGAUGCACUUGGAACUUGACUACAGCUUGAAUAAGCUGUAUUUCUUGAACCAGACCAUGUUUCGCUCUUCUCCCCAUUACAAUGAGAAAUCUAAAUAUAGGUCAGUAUCUGUAGGUAAAAGCUCCUGACUCAUCUCCUGACUGCCCAGCCCUUUGAAGCUUUAUAAAUGGAAACAACCUAGACAAGCAUGUUACAGAUGGACUGUUGCGUUUGUUUGAACAAGAAGAAAUUUUGAAGCAGUCGCACCACUGCAUAAACCUUACUGAGCUCAACCUCCUGACAACUGACUUAAGCCUCAGUGGAGGAGGAAAUGCUAAAUAAUUGUACCUUAUACUGAAAAUAGCUACGGGCAAUCUCAUAUUUUUUUUUUUUCUUUCAAAAAAAAUCUUUUUGGAAUCAAGUGGCUUACAUCAUCAUGUCAUCUUACCCUCUGCUCUUGUGUCAGACCACACCGUGCAAUGUUUAGGACAGGGAGUCUGUCUCGCUACUGAUUUGUAGAAGUACUUAGAAUAGUGGGACUUUCUUCUUGGUAACAUUGCAAUGAAUUAUUAUAACUAUUUUGAAUUUAUGAGCAUACACAUGGAGUAUUUCCUUUCAUAUGUUAUUUAUACAAGGCUGCUAAGUGCAGCGAAACUGCACGAAUGCCCCAGAACUGGAUGGCUGUUGUAUACAAAAAAGCUUAUUCAUUUAAAUUGCACAUAUUUUGAGAGGGCUUUUGGAUUCCUCUUGUCAAAAAUAGCCUGGUACAGAAAUGCCCACAGAAAUUAGGACCAGAGGGCACUUCUAAUCUCCACCUAUAAAAGCAACAGGGCCAUGGCCAGUGCUAUGGCCCUGAGGCCAGUGUAGUUGAAUACUUUUUCCCCUGGAUGCAAAGGCUGUGUCCAUAGUGACUGCUGAGACCAAUCUUUGGAGUUUCAAUCCCCAGGACAGUGCCCAGCACAGGACUGAGCCCUGCUGAGAACACCAAUGGCAUCUUAGGGGGUAUCUGGGUACCAGAGCUCAAGCCUGGCCCUGGCUCUGCAGAGCUUAUGAUGACAGGAGUACCUUGAGUGGCUCCUGGUUCAUUUCCUUGCCUUCAGGCUGGAUAAACUCUUCCCAUUGUGAAAUAAAUAGAUAAUACUUGCCCUUUUCUUCCUGAAAAACCUCUGAAGAUGUUCUGCGCUCUCUUCAGGCAGCACUGUCAUUUUUCUAUUGCCGCUGUUGAAAAAUCAUUUAUCAUGUUAAAUCAAGAUCUCCUUUGCUUCAAUUUGAACUUAUUAUUCCCUGUGCUCACUCCAUGAGAUCAAGAGCACAUUUACCUCAUCUUUAUUGAUGCUUGUAUUUUUUUUAACUAAAUAUUUCUAGUUUCAUUAGUCUUUAGCUGUAGUAGGUUAUUAAAGAAAGGACAUCUUUUAGAUCUCUUAUAAUUCCAGCUGUUUCCCCAAUUUCUGUCAAAUUGGUCCAAUCUCUUCUGAAGUCCAACACUUAACAGAGAUCUUACUGACAGAACCUAGCAGAGUAAAGUUGCUUCAUGUCUCAUCUAACUGACCUUUUUCUUUACAUAUCCUCCUGUGAUGCAGGUUUUUUUUCUCUACAGCAUGGUUCUGACUUGUGUUCACUCUGUGAUCCGGACCCCCUUGGCCCUUGUUGGUAGAACUGCUGUCAAACUUGCCUUUCCGAUCAUGUAUUUCCACAGUUGAUCAGUCCAGACAAAUGCAGGGUGUUUGCAUUUCUUCUAUUGAAUUAUAUCCUGUUGUAUACUACAUGCGAAAUGAUUAAUUAGUUUUGUUGCUACUCUACACUCUGCUGAUGUCGUCUCUUUAAUGCCUGCAUCUUCUAUGUUCUUUGCUUACUGGAUUUUUGAGUGGCAACUUAGAAUACCCUCAAGGUUGGAAAAGUGUGUUCAGUUAGAGAAGUAUGUUUCUUGUAAAAAAAAAAAAAAAAAAAAAAAA